rnacentral:rRNA from 1 species
CCUACGGGGGGCAGCAGUGGGGAAUAUUGGGCAAUGGGCGCAAGCCUGACCCAGCAACGCCGCGUGAAGGAAGAAGGCUUUCGGGUUGUAAACUUCUUUUGUCAGGGACGAAGCAAGUGACGGUAGCGGACGAAUAAGCCACGGCUAACUACGUGCCAGAAGCCGCGGUAAGACUUAGGUGGCAAGCGUGAUCCGGAUUUACUGGGUGUAAAGGUCGGGUAGGCGGGGAAGAAAGUCAGAUGGGAAAACCACGGGCUCAGCCUGUGGCCUGCAUUUGAAACUGUUGUUCUUGAGUGCGGGACAGGCAAGCGGACUUCCGGGUGUAGCGGUGAAAUGCGUAGAGAUACGGAGGAACACCAGUGGCGCAGGCGGAUUGCUGGACAGUAACUGACGCUGAGGCGCGAACGCGUGGGGAGCAAACAGGAUUAGAUACCCCAGUAGUC